GCCGUAGAGUUAUACCACUCACUCAACCCUGUCGUGAAACAUACCUAUCAUUACGUUUGCCUCCUCGGCGGGAGCGACUGGCCGCCCGGUAACACGGGCCGCCCCCGCCAGAAGGACCCCCUAACUCCUGUUUCUAUAAUGUUGUCCUUCUGAGAUGACAGCAAGCAAUUAAUCA
rnacentral:misc_RNA from 1 species